UUAAUCCCUCUCCUUACUGCAGGUAUGUGUUGUCGAGGGGGAGGUGUGUGUUAUUAAUCCCUCUCCUUACUGCAGGUAUGUGUUGUCGAGGGGGAGGUGUGUGUUAUUAAUCCCUCCCUUUACUGCAGGUAUGUGUUGUCGAGGGGGAGGUGUGUGUUAUUAAUCCCUCUCCUUACUGCAGGUAUGUGUUGUCGAGGGGGAGGUGUGUGUUAUUAAUCCCUCCCCUUACUGCAGGUAUGUGUUGUCGAGGGGGAGGUGUGUGUUAUUAAUCCCUCCCCUUACUGCAGGUAUGUGUUGUCGAGGGGGAGGUGUGUGUUAUUAAUCCCUCCCCUUACUGCAGGUAUGUGUUGUCGAGGGGGAGGUGUGUGUUAUUAAUCCCUCCCCUUACUGCAGGUAUGUGUUGUCGAGGGGGAGGUGUGUGUUAUUAAUCCCUCCCCUUACUGCAGGUAUGUGUUGUCGAGGGGGAGGUGUGUGUUAUUAAUCCCUCUCCUUACUGCAGGUAUGUGUUGUCGAGGGGGAGGUGUGUGUUAUUAAUCCCUCCCCUUACUGCAGGUAUGUGUUGUCGAGGGGGAGGUGUGUGUUAUUAAUCCCUCCCCUUACUGCAGGUAUGUGUUGUCGAGGGGGAGGUGUGUGUUAUUAAUCCCUCUCCUUACUGCAGGUAUGUGUUGUCGAGGGGGAGGUGUGUGUUAUUAAUCCCUCUCCUUACUGCAGGUAUGUGUUGUCGAGGGGGAGGUGUGUGUUAUUAAUCCCUCCCCUUACUACAGGUAUGUGUUGUCGAGGGGGAGGUGUGUGUUAUUAAUCCCUCCCUUUACUGCAGGUAUGUGUUGUCGAGGGGGAGGUGUGUGUUAUUAAUCCCUCUCCUUACUGCAGGUAUGUGUUGUCGAGGGGGAGGUGUGUGUUAUUAAUCCCUCCCUUUACUGCAGGUAUGUGUUGUCGAGGGGGAGGUGUGUGUUAUUAAUCCCUCUCCUUACUGCAGGUAUGUGUUGUCGAGGGGGAGGUGUGUGUUAUUAAUCCCUCUCCUUACUG